rnacentral:rRNA from 1 species
UACGUAGGGUGCAAGCGUUGUCCGGAAUUAUUGGGCGUAAAGGGCUCGUAGGCGGUCCAUCGCGUCGGGAGUGAAAAGCUGGGGCUUAACCCCAGUCCUGCUUCCGAUACGGGUGGACUAGAGGUAGGUAGGGGAGAACGGAAUUCCUGGUGUAGCGGUGAAAUGCGCAGAUAUCAGGAGGAAUACCGGUGGCGAAAGCGACUCUCUGGACGGCAACUGACGCUGAGGCACGAAAGCGUGGGGAGCAAACAGG